GAACCAUAUACAUCCCCCCCACCCCCCACCCCACCCCACCCCUCAAAAACACACAUAUAUGCGCAACAUGUAUCUAACUACAAUUUUUUUCUGGUGUUCCCAUUUCCAUCUCUCUCUCUCUCUGUAUAUAUAUAUAUAUAAACACACACACACACAUUACCGAACUCAUUUCUUCCCCAAAUUAAGAAGCCAAGUAAUUAACAUGAACGAGUGGCGAUCCGAUGAGAGAAAAUGGUGCUUUUUUCAUCCUACAGAAAUGGUGGUGGGAAUUUGUGCACUCUGCUUGAAAGAGAGGCUCUUGCCUUUAGCUGCACCCAAGAAAAACUCUCUAAAUCUUCACAAAACUACAAAGACAUCACCCUCUUCUUCUUCUCUCACUAAAAUCUUUGCUCUCACAACUUUGCUCAAUCGUCUCGAGAUUAAACAUCACAAAUCUUCUGCUCAAGAUCACUACUGUUGCCGCACCUCAUCAUCCAGUCAAGAUGAGUCAUUUAUAUCGAUGAAGUUUGAAGACAACGGCAUUGCCUCGUGGGAAAAGGAAAAAUGUUCUAAAAUAUAUCACGAUAAUCAAUGCGAGAUAUCGUAUGAUGAUAAGAAGAUAAAGAGUUUGGUGCUGGAGCAUGCAAAACCACGAGGGACGCUGAGGUGGCGAAGGCGGAUUGGCCACAUAUUCCAGCUCAUCAGAUUGAAGAGGUCCAACAAAGGCAAUAUGUGCCAUGUGGGCACAAAGCAUCGGAAGAGCAUAAGUCUAAAUACUAUUGACAAAAUGUAGAUGAAACAUCCUCAUCAUUGAGGUUAUAUUUACAUUUCGUUUAGGGCUGGUUUGGUUUUCAGUAAAGGAUUAUAUAUGAUAAUUUGUAAUCAGGAUAUUUAGUUUGGAUAAUGACAGAUUAUUAAUACUGAA